rnacentral:pre_miRNA from 14 species
CAUUUCUGCUCCUGUCUCGACCACGGGUAUUCUUGGGUUGAUAAUACAGAUGUGGAUGUUAUUGCUUGAGAAUACGCGUAGUCGAGCGGAAGCUUUAUCAU